rnacentral:rRNA from 1 species
AUGAUGCGCGAGGACCUUACCUGGGCUUAAAUGUAGAGUGCACUUUUUAGAGAUAGAAAUUCCCUUCGGGGCUUUCUGCAAGGUGCUGCAUGGUUGUCGUCAGCUCGUGCCGUGAGGUGUCGGGUUAAGUCCCAUAACGAGCGCAACCCUUAUCGUUAGUUGCCAUCUGGUAAUGCAGGGGACUCUAGCGAAACUGCCACCGUAAGGUGAGAGGAAGCGGGGAUGACGUCAAAUCAGCACGGCCCUUAUGUCCAGGGCUACACACGUGUUACAAUGGUCGGUACAGAGGGCAGCUACCUGGUGACAGGAUGCUAAUCUCGAAAACCGGUCUCAGUUCGGAUCGAAGUCUGCAACUCGACUUCGUGAAGCUGGAUUCGCUAGUAAUCGCGCAUCAGCUAUGGCGCGGUGAAUACGUUCCCGGGCCUU